UACGGGGGGGGCAAGCGUUGUUCGGAAUUACUGGGCGUAAAGCGCUUGUAGGCGGUCCACCAAGUUUGGGGUGACAGUUGCCGACUUAAUCGGCAAAGUGCCUCAAAGACUGGCGGACUUGAGGGCCACAGAGGGACAUGGAACUCCAGGUGUAGUGGUGAAAUGCGUAGAUAUCUGGAAGAACACCAAAGGCGAAGGCAGUGUCCUGGGUGGUCGCUGACGCUGAGAGGCGAAAGCCAGGGGAGCGAACGGG
rnacentral:rRNA from 1 species